AUAGCGGAGGACUAUCAUCGGCGGAGGAGCAUAUCAAUAAGCGGAGGAGCAUAUCAAUAAGCGGAGGAGCAUAUCAAUAAGCGGAGGAACAUAUCAAUAAGCGGAGGAGCAUAUCAAUCAGCGGAGGAGCAUAUCAAUCAGCGGAGGAACCUAUCCUUUCGAGGAGGAAUCUCUUGGUUCUGGCAUCAAUGAAUAACGCAGCGAAAUGCGAUAAGUAAUGUGAAUUGCAGAAUUCAGUGAAUCAUCGAAUCUUUGAACGCACAUUGCGCCCGCCAGUAUUCUGGCGGGCAUGCCUGUUCGAGCGUCAUUUCAACCCUCGCGCCCCUUCUGGGAACGCGGUGUUGGGGACCGGCACAACCCGCCUCUUGGCGGGCGCCGCCCCCGAAAUACAGUGGCGGUCUCGCUGCCGCCUCCCUUGCGUAGUAUCACAACCUCACACCGGACCGCAGCGCGGCCCCCCCGUAAAACCCCCGACUCUCCUGAUUUUGACCUCGGAUCAAGUACGAAUACCUGCUGAACUUUAAUCUUAUCAUAAUACUGAGAAACGACAAU
rnacentral:rRNA from 1 species